rnacentral:ncRNA from 13 species
GUGCCCGAGUGGUUAAGGGGUUGGACUUGAAAUCCAAUAGGCCUAGCCUUCGCAGGUUCGAGUCCUGUCCG